rnacentral:rRNA from 1 species
GACGAACGCUGGCGGCGUGCCUAAUACAUGCAAGUAGAACGCUGAAGGGAGAGCUUGCUCUUCUGGAUGAGUUGCGAACGGGUGAGUAACGCGUAGGUAACCUGCCUGGUAGCGGGGGAUAACUAUUGGAAACGAUAGCUAAUACCGCAUAAUAGUAGAUGUUGCAUGACAUUUGCUUGAAAGGUGCAAUUGCAUCACUACCAGAUGGACCUGCGUUGUAUUAGCUAGUUGGUGGGGUAACGGCUCACCAAGGCGACGAUACAUAGCCGACCUGAGAGGGUGAUCGGCCACACUGGGACUGAGACACGGCCCAGACUCCUACGGGAGGCAGCAGUAGGGAAUCUUCGGCAAUGGACGGAAGUCUGACCGAGCAACGCCGCGUGAGUGAAGAAGGUUUUCGGAUCGUAAAGCUCUGUUGUAAGAGAAGAACGAGUGUGAGAGUGGGAAGUUCACACUG